rnacentral:rRNA from 1 species
UACGGAGGGGGCUAGCGUUGUUCGGAAUUACUGGGCGUAAAGCGCACGUAGGUGGCUUUGUAAGUUAGAGGUGAAAGCCCGGGGCUCAACUCCGGAAUUGCCUUUAAGACUGCAUCGCUAGAACGUCGGAGAGGUAAGUGGAAUUCCGAGUGUAGAGGUGAAAUUCGUAGAUAUUAGGAAGAACACCAGUGGCGAAGGCGGCUCACUGGAUCGGUACUGACGCUGAGGUGCGAAAGCGUGGGGAGCAAACAGG